rnacentral:lncRNA from 1 species
AGUGAGCUGAACACAUCCGACAUUGUACGGAGCAGCAGGAACAGCUGGUAAGCUAGCAAGCGGCAACGGCCCAGCGAGGAGCGUGGAUGCUAAUGAGCCUGGCGACAAUGCCGGCCUUCAGAGGGGCUGGCCUUGUGACCUGCUGUGGCCAAAUAGUUCUGAGACUUCCAAAGUGCUAUUGUGAAGAAGCUGGCACCUCCACCUGGAUCUCUGGAGCCUGUAGCAGCCAUGUCAGAAGCCUGACUGCUGCGAGAAGACCCAAACUAGCCAAGUGGAGGGGCUGCUGAGCCAGGUAUGCCUGGCCAGCCCCAAGCUGUUCCAGCUAUGCCAAUG